rnacentral:rRNA from 1 species
CAGCAGCCGCGGGAAUACGUAGGGUGCAAGCGUUAAUCGGAAUUACUGGGCGUAAAGCGUGCGCAGGCGGUUAUAUAAGACAGAUGUGAAAUCCCCGGGCUCAACCUGGGAACUGCAUUUGUGACUGUAUAGCUAGAGUACGGCAGAGGGGGAUGGAAUUCCGCGUGUAGCAGUGAAAUGCGUAGAUAUGCGGAGGAACACCGAUGGCGAAGGCAAUCCCCUGGGCCUGUACUGACGCUCAUGCACGAAAGCGUGGGGAGCAAACAGGAUUAGAUACCCCCGUAGUCCCUGUCUCUUAUAU